rnacentral:rRNA from 1 species
AAUUGGAGGGCAAGUCUGGUGCCAGCAGCCGCGGUAAUUCCAGCUCCAAUAGCGUAUAUUAAAGUUGUUGCAGUUAAAAAGCUCGUAGUUGAAUUUCGGGAUCAAUAUUUCGGUCAUGCCGUUGGUAUGCACUGUUAUCAUUGAUUUCUCACCUUCUAAAGAACCGUAAUGCCAUUAAUUUGGUGUUACGGGGAAUUAGGACUGUUACCUUGGAAAAAUUAGAGUGUUUAAAGCAGGCUCACGCUUGAAUACAUUAGCAUGGAAUAAUGAAAUAGGACAUCCGAUUCUAUUUUGUUGGUUUCUAGGAUCGAUGUAAUGAUUAAUAGGGAUAGUUGGGGGCAUUAGUAUUCAAUUGUCAGAGGUGAAAUUCUUGGAUUUAUUGAAGACUAACUACUGCGAAAGCAUUUGCCAAGGAUGUUUUCAUUAAUCAAGAACGAAAGUUAGGGGAUCGAAGACGAUCAGAUACCGUCGUAGUCUUAACCAUAAACUAUGCCGACUAGGGAUCGGAUGAUGUUAAUUUUUUAAUGACUCAUUCGGCGCCUUACGGGAAACCAAAGUGU